rnacentral:rRNA from 1 species
CCUACGGGAGGCAGCAGUGGGGAAUCUUGCGCAAUGGGCGAAAGCCUGACGCAGCGACGCCGCGUGGGGGAAGAAGGCCUUCGGGUUGUAAACCUCUUUCAGCAGGGACGAAGCCACUCGGGUUAAUAGCCCAGAGGGUGACGGUACCUGCAGAAGAAGCCCCGGCUAACUACGUGCCAGCAGCCGCGGUAAUACGUAGGGGGCAAGCGUUGUCCGGAUUUAUUGGGCGUAAAGAGCGUGUAGGCGGCCAGACAAGUCCGUUGUGAAAACUAGAGGCUUAACCUCUAGACGUCGAUGGAAACUGUUUGGCUAGAGUCCGGAAGAGGAGAAUGGAAUUCCUGGUGUAGCGGUGAAAUGCGCAGAUAUCAGGAAGAACACCCGUGGCUAAGGCGGUUCUCUAGUACGGCACUGACGCUGAGACGCGAAAGCGUGGGGAGCGAACAGGAUUAGAUACCCUGGUAGUCCACGCCGUAAACGAUGGGUGCUAGGUGUGGGGGUGUCGACUCCCUCCGUGCCGAAGCUAACGCAUUAAGCACCCGCCUGGGGAGUACGGCCGCAAGGCAAAACUCAAAUGAAUUGACGG